AUCGAUCAUUCAUCAGCAUCAUCCUCAUUUGUAGUAUGCUUGGUUGCAUUUUCACAGUCACCAGCAAAGCAUUUGCAAAGAGGAGUACAGGGAAUUCCAUGUCUUUGACAAGUGCACCUGAGUGUUUUGCACUGGGUUUUGCACACACAUUUUGUCUUCUUGUAUCUUCUGUUUGAAUCUUUGCAAUGUGAUUCUCAGAGUUUCUUUGUGUUCCCUUUUAAAGAUUUUCUCCUAUCCUUUGGAUUUGAAGAACAACCUUAUUUUGAGAGCUAGAAUUUUACAUGUGAUUUUUUUUUCCAGUCUCAUCUCUCUGUUUAGAUUUUCUUUCUCCAAAUUUCAAAUUGAAAUCGAGACUUUCAUAUAACGCACACUCUUCACCAUACACUCUAUACUGUUUGAUAGUGAAACAUUUCAGGGGUAUUUAUGUGUCAUACUGCUUGUCACACUGAAGUUGUUUACAAAAAAAGAUCGUAUUUUCUCAUUUCAUCCGAUAUUGAUUUUCAUCGAUUUUUAUAUAGGGGAGAGUGGGGUGAUUGGUGCCAGCGGGGAAGUUGUGCCACCCCCUAUUUCUAGGGAACCAUAGAAGAAAUUGGUCAUGUGACCACACAUUUUUGAAGACUCAGCCAUUUCAAUCAUCCUGCAGAGAAGAGAGCCUCAUUGCAUGAGAGGAUAUGAUUGGUUUGGAGCCUUUAAAGCACGCCGUCAUUUGUCACGCCGCACUCCUGAAGCAACCUCUGUUGGUAGAGCUACUGCAAUUAAUAGGCACAACGUGAGGGAGUUCUUUGAUAACCUAAAGUGAUGGACAGGUAUGACUUCCUUCCACACAAGAUCUACAACAUGGAUGAAACUGGUGUGACGGAAAAUGACCUUUGAUGUGCUCAUGUGGUG